GACCCUUUGGGGACAUCCAUUAAAAUUGGACCUAUACAGAGAAGAUUAGCAUGAUCCCUCUACAAGGAUAACAGCAAAAAUCAAGAAAUGGUAUAUUUUUUU